rnacentral:rRNA from 1 species
UACGUAGGUGACAAGCGUUGUCCGGAUUUACUGGGCGUAAAGAGCGCGCAGGCGGUCGUUCAAGUCGAGUGUGAAAGCCCCCGGCUCAACUGGGGAGGGUCAUUCGAUACUGAUCGACUCGAAGGCAGGAGAGGGUAGUGGAAUUCCCGGUGUAGUGGUGAAAUGCGUAGAUAUCAGGAGGAAUACCGGUGGCGAAAGCGACUCUCUGGACGGCAACUGACGCUGAGGCACGAAAGCGUGGGGAGCAAACAGG